GAUGAAGAACGUAGCUAAAUGCGAUAAGUAAUGUGAAUUGCAGAAUUCAGUGAAUCAUCGAAUCUUUGAACGCACAUUGCGCCCCUUGGUAUUCCGGGGGGCAUGCCUGUUCGAGCGUCAUUUCAACCCUCAAGCUUCUGCUUGGUCUUGGGCCGUGCCGGCAACGGCUGGCCUUAAAACUAGUGGCGGUGCCAUCGAGCUCUACGCGUAGUAAUUCUAUCUCGCGUCUGGGCUUCGGUGGACGCUGGCCAGCAACCCCCAAUUUUCUAUGGUUGACCUCGGAUCAGGUAGGGAUACCCGCUGAACUUAAGCAUAUCAAUAAGCGGAGGA
rnacentral:misc_RNA from 1 species